ensembl:lncRNA
AAUGCUCCACUACCUUUUUUUUUUUUUUUUUUACUUUGAUUUUUAUUAGGUUAUUUUAUCAUUGUGGACAUACAGUAAAGAAAAUAACAAACAGACAUACAAAUGGGUCUAUAAUUCUUGCAGUAUUCUUUGUUUUUUCCUUCUUUGGGUAAGAUUGUUAUAAUAGCUUCUCCCCAUGAUGGUGGAGCUAUUCCCUGAUUCAGAGUCCAGUUGAAGCAAGAUAGAAGAAGUGGCUUGAGUUCUUCUUUGAAAACUUUGUAACUUUGUAGGUGUGAUCACAUUGAUGCCACAAUGGACGACUGAUCAAUGCUCCACUACCAAAAGGAAGCCAAGCCCUGCCACCCUUUACAACAAAACAAGGUGUGAUCACAUUGAUGCCACAAUGGACGACUGAUCAAUGCUCCACUACCAAAAGGAAGCCAAGCCCUGCCACCCUUUACAACAAAACAAGGUGUGAUCACAUUGAUGCCACAAUGGACGACUGAUCAAUGCUCCACUACCUUUUUUUUUUUUUUUUUACUUUGAUUUUUAUUAGGUUAUUUUAUCAUUGUGGACAUACAGUAAAGAAAAUAACAAACAGACAUACAUAUAAACAAACAGAGUCUGGAGUUUACAUAUCUUUCUCCAUUUAUCACAUUGCAGAAAAAAAAAGAAAACCUAUUAUGUUAUUUCAUUUGUGUCACUUCUGAAUGUUUUCCACUUCCUCCAUAGUCUGUCGUAUUUACCUCCCAUCAGUCUAAUGUUGAGUGUUAUUUUUUCCAUCUCUGAGAUAUCCUCUACAAUACUUGCAGUAUUCUUUGUUUUUUCCUUCUUUGGGUAAGAUUGUUAUAAUAGCUUCUCCCCAUGAUGGUGGAGCUAUUCCCUGAUUCAGAGUCCAGUUGAAGCAAG